GACGAACGCUGGCGGCGUGCCUAAUACAUGCAAGUUGAGCGCUGAAGGUUGGUACUUGUACCGACUGGAUGAGCAGCGAACGGGUGAGUAACGCGUGGGGAAUCUGCCUUUGAGCGGGGGACAACAUUUGGAAACGAAUGCUAAUACCGCAUAAAAACUUUAAACACAAGUUUUAAGUCUGAAAGGUGCAAUUGCAUCACUCAAAGAUGAUCCCGCGUUGUAUUAGCUAGUUGGUGAGGUAAAGGCUCACCAAGGCGAUGAUACAUAGCCGACCUGAGAGGGUGAUCGGCCACAUUGGGACUGAGACACGGCCCAAACUCCUACGGGAGGCAGCAGUAGGGAAUCUUCGGCAAUGGACGAAAGUCUGACCGAGCAACGCCGCGUGAGUGAAGAAGGUUUUCGGAUCGUAAAACUCUGUUGGUAGAGAAGAACGUUGGUGAGAGUGGAAAGCUCAUCAAGUGACGGUAACUACCCAGAAAGGGACGGCUAACUACGUG
rnacentral:rRNA from 1 species